GCGCUCGCCACAUUGUAUAUAUUGUAGUCAUUAGUCUAGUCACAUUUAUGUUCAUAUUCGCUGUAUAUAAUAGUCUUUCCAGUACCUAUAAGUUUUGCAUAUUUUUGGUGACUCACGCGAAAUGUCGGCGCCGCGGCGGAUCACGAUCGACGCGUAAAAUCGAUAUUUUCGCGACUCACCAAUCGGUGCUGCCCUCGUUCACCCCACGAGGGCACCCGCAGGAGGAAAGAGCAAGUACUCGCUCGCGACACUUUUCCAGCGCCGCGAGCACGAUUCACUCAUCGUCACGACGUCUCGGGGUGCACACGCUAUACGUGCACACUCGAACAUCCGAGAGGCCACACAGAGCUCGCUCUCCGGAAGUGCGAACGCUUUCUCUGCCUGCCUUGCUCGCUGCUUUUGCUUGCCUUGCUGCCUUGCUUGCCACCCUGCCUUGCCUUGCUGCCUUUGCUUGCUGCGCUGCCUUGCAUGCUGCCUACGAGCUUGCUAGAGAGACAAAUUCUCCAGGAGACGACGGCCUCCCGAACGGUAAAUGUCCCCAUGGCCGACCAUGUUCCCUCUACCGACAUUUUUGACAUGAAACGUUGUUUACGAGGCUGCCGAUUCAACAACACGUUCAUUAGUGGAGUGGAAAAAUUCCGGAAUUUGUGCAGUACAAAAGAAUUAUAACGUGCAGAGUUAGACACAGCAAAACGCCUGCAUGUCCCCAGUACCGUACACGUAAACGUCAGUAUCAUCGAAGCUGAAAAAGAAAGGAAACGCUUGGAACGAGAAGAAAAGGCGAGGAAACGGCAAGAGCAGUUAAAGAAAAAAAAAUGUCAAAGUAAAGAAAGUUAGCUAAUAUAACUAUGUAACAUUCAUCCGGUUGCAAAAUGCAUCUACUUUUAAGAUAUAUCUAUUAAAUAGCAUACAUUAAUUAUAUCUAUUGUAUUGUGGAGAUCGUGUGUUAUAAAUAAAUGUAAUAUAUGCAUAGUAUACGAACGAAAAGCAUUUCGUGAUGUUAUGUUACGAUUAUAUAAUCGUUCAAUAUAUAUUCCUUAUUCUUUACAUAUCUGAUCAUCUAUGAAUUCUUUUUAUCGUUCAAGUCAGCGAUAACCUCUUUGAUAUUGAUUGUUUGAUAUCAUCAAAUUAAAAUAAAAUACCUUUUCAUGAUUUAUGUGUAUUUUUUAUGUUUAUCAUUGAUUUAUGUUCAUUUUUAUGUUUACUUUUCGUUUGAAACCUCCGCCUCGCAUGCUCUGAAAAAAGGUAAUCGGUAAUGGGGACAUGCCCGGUCGGAAUUGGACACAGCUGGUCGGUAGAGGGGGCACGCACUAGUGCGCCUUUAUUCUUCUCUAUCUAGAAAAAUACUUGACGGAAUGGAUUGAGCCUACGAUUUUUGGAAAGUGCAUGGAUGAAGCUAUCCACCAGUAUGAAACUCUUUAUCGAAUUUAUUUUUGUCACGCUUGACAACGCCAUUCUUUUGUUGGGUCGGCCUAAAGGUAGAAGCACAUAAA